rnacentral:rRNA from 1 species
CAGCCGCCACUGUAAUACAGAGGAUGCAAGCGUUAUCCGGAAUGAUUGGGCGUAAAGCGUCUGUAGGUGGCUUUUCAAGUCCGCCGUCAAAUCCCAGGGCUCAACCCUGGACAGGCGGUGGAAACUACCAAGCUGGAGUACGGUAGGGGCAGAGGGAAUUUCCGGUGGAGCAGUGAAAUGCGUUGAGAUCGGAAAGAACACCAACGGCGAAAGUACUCUGCUGGGCCGACACUGACACUGAGAGACGAAAGCUAGGGGAGCAAACGGGAUUAGAGACCCCCGUAGUCCCUGUCUCUUAUAA